rnacentral:rRNA from 1 species
CUCAGUUCGGAUUGGAGUCUGCAACCCGACUCCAUGAAGCUGGAUUCGCUAGUAAUCGCGCAUCAGCCACGGCGCGGUGAAUACGUUCCCGGGCCUUGUACACACCGCCCGUCAAGCCAUGGAAGCCGGGGGUGCCUGAAGUGCGCUGCCGCAAGGAGCGCCCUAGGGUAAACCGGUGACUGGGGCUAAGUCGUAACAAGGUAUC